CAGUCGCCACGGGAAUACGUAGGGCGCGAGCGUUGUCCGGAAUUAUUGGGCGUAAAGAGCUUGUAGGCGGCUGGUCGCGUCUGUCGUGAAAUCCUCUGGCUUAACUGGGGGCUUGCGGUGGGUACUGGCCGGCUUGAGUGCGGUAGGGGAGGCUGGAACUCCUGGUGUAGCGGUGGAAUGCGCAGAUAUCAGGAAGAACACCGGUGGCGAAGGCGGGUCUCUGGGCCGUUACUGACGCUGAGGAGCGAAAGCGUGGGGAGCGAACAGGAUUAGAUACCCCGGUAGUCCCUGUCUCUUAUAC
rnacentral:rRNA from 1 species